UUUGCUUUUGAUAACAUAAUAAUAUGAUAUGAGAUUUAGAAUUUUAGAUAUGAUAGCCAACCUAAUUUUAGUAGCAUUUGGCGACAACGUAAGAGAAGGAGGCAGUUAAGAGUUAAAUUCACUGUAAAAUUGGUUUAAAAUAUAUUUGUUUGAUGGAUUUGUCCUAAUCCUUCGAGUCAAACAACUAAUGUAUUUUCUGCAAACUGUGUCUUCUACCUUAAAACAAGGUAAGCCAUGUUUAAGUGCCCGCAUGACAUCUGACUGCCCCUACCAUUUGCAACCCAAAAAAACUAAAAACCGGCCUCAAAACAGAAGGACAAGUUGGAAGACCAUCGAUCGAACAUAGGAACAACGAGGAAGAAAAAAAUGGCAUCACUUGUAACCCAUUUGUGUGUCACUCUUCUCCUUCUCCCUAUAGGCAUCCGCCGUCUCUUUUGCUCGUCUUCUCUUUACCUCAAGAACCCAUCUCUUUUUAGAUCCAAAACAUGGUACCUCUCUGAUCCCAAAUGGAAAAAUCUUGAUUUGUACGUCCUCACCGUAGCCCUCCCUAUUGCUUCUUUUUCUUUAAUCUUUCUUUUCUUCUCCAUUACUACUGGUCACACAACUUACCGUUUCUCCUUCUUGCAUGGAUCAUUGCUUCUUUUUCUUUACUGGGUCUUGGCAAUUUUGUUCGUUUUAUGUGAUGCCAUUGACCCUGUAGUCAUUCUUGAUAAUUUCUUGUUUGUGUUUGGUGGGAUUUUGUUUUUCGUAGAGUACUCUUUUAUUGGUGAGGGCACUUCUGGUCUUGUUGUCGAGGUUUUUUAUGGUUUGUGUGGUGGUUUGAGUCUUGUUUGUGGGUUUUGUUGUUUGUAUUUGGCUAUUAGGCCUGGUGCAUUUUUUGCUGAGUUUUGUUUGUGUUGUGGGUUGGUUUUGAAGGGGACUUGGUUUUUGCAAGCUGGGUUGUGUUUGUAUACUGAUGUUUUUGGUUUUAAAGGGUGUCACGAGAUUAAUAUUUUGCCUGGAAGUGGAAAUGUUGAGUUGAAGUGUGAUCUUGAGGAGGAUGGGUUGAGGGGUGUGGCAUUGGUGAAUUUGAUGUUUGUUGGGCAUGCAAUCGUGGUCUUUCUUGUGAGUUUGGGGUUGUUUGGAUUGUUGUCAAGUAAUAGGAAUUUGAGGCAUGGUGAAGCAAGUGGUCCUUUGCUGGCAGGGCUUGAUUCUGAGAGUGCUUUGAUGCGGGCGCUUCCUGAAUUUGAAGUGGAAUGAAGUGGGCAGCAAAGGAUUUAGGGAUUGAGGGGCCAAAAAGAAUGGGUGUAUAUAUUUGGGAAGGGCUUCUAGAUUUGUUCCUGCUUGUGGGUGAAGGCUAUUACUUUGUUAUGUGGUAAGUAACCGGUAAAUAGUUUUCGGAAACGGUUGCUGGAGUUGCCUAUUGGCAUCAGUAACAUUUGUAGCAUAGUGUGGGCCUCCAAAUUGCUGGAAACAGAUAGCUUGUUACUGCUUUGUGUUCCUCCCAAAUGCAUUGGUUCAUGCUGUUGUUAUGAAUGAUCACAGUUGAUUAACUCUAGUAAUUCAACUGGAUGAUAAUGGCCACAGAUUCUUUAGACCUCUGAAGUGAUCAAGUGUUAAAGUUCAACACUUUAGACAGGUGGGUUUUGAUUUUCUUUCAUAUGGAAGUAAAUAGCCACAACCUUUAAAAAAAUUCAGUUCUGCAGUGACUAAGAUUUCAUCUCAUGACAGUAUGUAAAGUAGCAACACAGAGUAUCUUCCAAUAAAAUUUUGGAUUCUAGGCAGAGAUAUCAUGGGAUCUAUGAUAAUUUUUUGGAUUUUUUAUAUCCCUUUGUUUCACUAUCUUUCAAGUUGAAGAAAUUGUUGUUUUUGUAGAUAAAAUGCAUGAAGUGGAGCCGUUACUUCAUGAUUUUUAGUUCUUCAAUGAUGUCUUUGGAGACAAUUAGAAGGUCUUGAGAAUUUGACGUCAGAUUUUGAACAUGGUAAAACGUAAGGACUUUUAUGGUGACUUGAAUUCACUGAAAGACCAUGGCCUUACCAAUUCAUGUGUUCAUAACUGUUGAACUCAGGUGCUAAUGCUUUGCUGGAGAGCUUCUUUUAUCAUUCUCACAUUCUACUUCUCACAAAACCGUAAUCUUUGAUUAUCAUGGAACCUUUAUUUAAUAUAUUUGUUGUAGGAAGCUGAAAUUUAUAGCCCCCCUCCCAAUUUUUUCCAUCAAAGUGUGCAAAGAAAUGGAAUGUGACUGUCCUUCCAGUGUUGUGCUUGCUAGAUGCUUUAUUGAAAAACAAGCUGUUGGAGCAUGAGGAGGAUCUGGCAUUCAGAAGAGGAAGAAGUGAUUCAGGAGCAACAUCUGAGUCGUAUGUUAAAUUUGGUUGGUACUAUAGCAUGCUACUGAAGAAAGACUUAUUUGAAUGUGCCCUUGGAUAAAAGAAGAAAUGAGUUGGAGAAUAGAUGUGAUUCAAAUCAAGAUGUUUCUAGUAUCCUGUUUCUUCAUAGAAGGUUUGAUGACAAGGGUGUGCUUGUGAGGAAGGAGAUAGCAACCGAAACUUUAUCAAGUAGUAAAAACUAGAAUUGCAUGCAAAGCAUAGUAUAUGUCUGCUGGCUAUGAUAGAUUCAAGUUUAUUAUCCACAGAAAGAAUGCUUCAACUGUUAUUUUUUGCUGUGUUACAAGGUUCAGCAAAAGAAGGAAAUUUAUAAAAGUCUUGGUUCAAGACUUUCAGAAAAGCAAUGACAGUGGCUGAAAAUCUCUAUUAUGAGCAAGGGGAUACCAAAACAGACAAACCCUCCAUUGGUGCUUAAAUCUUCUAAAGGUUCUCCUCUCAGUUCUGGUGGAGGAAUGG